rnacentral:rRNA from 1 species
UGCGUAGGGUGCAAGCGUUGUCCGGAAUUAUUGGGCGUAAAGAGCUCGUAGGCGGUCUGUCGCGUCGGAUGUGAAAAUCAGGGCUCAACCCUGGACCUGCAUUCGAUACGGGCAGACUAGAGUUCGGUAGGGGAGACUGGAAUUCCUGGUGUAGCGGUGAAAUGCGCAGAUAUCAGGAGGAACACCGGUGGCGAAGGCGGGUCUCUGGGCCGAAACUGACGCUGAGGAGCGAAAGCGUGGGGAGCAAACAGG